rnacentral:lncRNA from 13 species
UCAUCCCUAUCUCUCCCCCCUCCUUCUCGUUCCCCUUUCUCUCCAUCCCUCUCUCCCUGGACAGUGGUGUGAAUGAUCGUUAUCCACUGCGAUGGGGAAAACUUUCCAAUCAAGCCAGCUGAAUAAGCUGGACAGAGACAGACAGAUCGGCAGAGGCGGCACUGGCACAGUACAACUAACAAAUAAACAAAAGCUUACUCUACAGUAUUGAGUUCAGCCCGUCCAGAUGUAGGUGGCGACUCAGGAGCAGCACAACAAUGGUUGCCAAGGUGCCCAGAUAGUAAUUUAACCCUCAUUGGUGGAGAGGCACACAAGCUGAAGGGCAAAUUCGUUUUUUCAAACUGAACUCUUUCCAUUCUCAAUAUCUCCCCUGUCGUAUAACAGAUAAAUACAGAUUUUUAAGAGGGAUUUCUGUAAUCUGCAAAUGCCAGCCAUGCUCUUUCAUUUCAGUAAGAAGACUGCAUUCUGCUGUUGGGUGUGAUUUAGGCUAAUUGAGAGAAACAACGAUAAUGACUUCUAUUGGAAACUGAAUAGAGCAAGUUACACCACUAAGGUCAAUAGCAGGAAUGGCUGGACUUCAAAACUCUAAUCUCGUUAGUUUCUCACUGCAGUCCACCAUGAAAUCGAGGCAGAAUAAUACAAGUAGUGCAUAUACGAUCUGAAAAGGUCAUCCUAUAGGGAGACCUUCCUCCACCACACAAGAGCGCUCUCUCAGUCAGUUCUCAGGGCCAUAGCAUGUUUGGAUGUCGAUGAGCAUGCAUUCCAUGGCACUGACUUCCAACAGACGCCCUGGGAGUACCACAGGAAUGGUUAUCACAACAAUUAGACUGACAGCGCUUUUCUAAACCAAUCUUGAUUUAUUUUGUUUCCCUAAGAUUAAUGUCCGGCCUGUACAGUAAAGUAGGCUUUGGUUUGCAGUAUAAAAUGGGGCAAUCUCUCUCCCUCUCUCAUAAACACACACACUGCUAGCAUGGAUUCAUUUAGGUGGUCAUGUUAAAUGAUGCAUACUAGCACAUUCC